CGACGAUGCUCUUUCCAACCGCACUGACACCUGCGGCUGUUGCUGCUGCUGUUGCAUGGCCUGCACUGCUUUAGUGAGACCUCUGACCUGCUGAACCAGCAGGUUGAACUGCUCCAUACUGACCACCGUUGCCGGAGGAGGAGGAGGAGCCUGAAAAACUGGAGGCGAGGUCAGAGCCUGAGAUUUGACCGCAGAGGCCGUGGAUCGUCUGGUAGAUGCCUUUCGGGGAGGCAUCAGGUGGAGAUCUAACAUG
rnacentral:lncRNA from 1 species